AGAUCACGAUAAAAAACCUCAUUAGAGAGAUCUUCAUCAGAAGAAACCAGUACACAUGCUCGGGCAAAUGCUAAUCUUGUUUGCGCAGCUAUUGCUUUGUCAAUAUAGAGUGGCUGUCCCAAGGUGCUGCAUAACUUUGCAAUAAAAUGUCGACUCCAAAGAUGUAGAGGAACACCUUAAAAGGAUACUCAUAAAGGAAUAGACUGUAGACUGUCUAACUCCAAAUGAACAUCAGGAGACCAAUGUCGUAGAAUCAUUGGGUGGCCGCAAAUAGUCCAGAACCCUUCAAGGACCCAUUGCAAAUCUUCUUCAGAAUAUAGCUUGCAAACAAAGAAACCAUUUUCCAGCUUAUGAAGAUCAAAUGCUGAUGUUCCCCAUCUAGUUUUGAUAAAUGAGGAUAGUGAAAAAUAGGAUGUUUUGAGUCCUACUACAUAGCCAACAAUCGCCAUAGACCAUGUCUCAAUCAACUCUGCAGAAUCAGCAUACUCAUACAUAGCAAUCUUCUUAUCAGCUUGAACUUCUAGAGCGAAGAAAUCCAAGCUGAGAUCUGGACUUCCAACUGGAGCCUUGAAAAGGCUAGUCCAAGGCCAAGGGUCACUAGAAAUUAGAGCAUUUGGUCGUGAUCUUGAGUGCGACCUGCUUUGAUGCUGCUUCGUCGAGUCUAUCCUCCCACCACCGUCGCCAGCCCCAUGGGCCAUCGAGGGCUGCACACUCUCCUCUGUUCCAUAGAGCAUAACAGUAGCACCUUUCCCUUCCUUCCACUUUCCCUUCUCGAUCACCAAAGAAGAAAAUGAAGAAGAAGGGCUUAUGUUUGGGAAGAAGAAGAGGAACUUAAUUAUGCGAUCUUCCGUUUCCUACUCCUCUGUUCGCACCUGGCUCAUCGCCUCAUAGAAAUUUUCUUGAAGUUGCAGCGAUGGUACUGUAGCGGUGAUCAGAUCUUCCUAGGGCGACGGUACUAUAGCGGUGAUCCGAUCUCCCUAGGGUGAUGGUACUGUAGCGGCGAUUUGAGGAUGAGUACUCCCUCCUUCUCGGGUCUCGCUGGCCAAGGAGAGCAGAUCUCCCUCCUAUGUUCACGCAAGAUCUCCCUCCUCCGAUUGCUGAUGCCUCUUCUCCUCUGUUCCUUGAGAAGGGAGCAGAGAGGCUGCAGAAUGCCUCCGUCACCUAGCAGUAGACCUCCCAGAAGAAGAAGGAAGAAAGCCCCUCCACAAGAAACCCCUCCUUUGUUCCUUUCUUGAAGUUUCUUCUCCUCGGAUAGAAGGAGAGCAGAUCUGUUCUAAAGAAAAAAGCAUAAAUCCAAACUGCAAGAAGAAGAAGAAGAGUAGUGAUCCUCUCUCCGGUCGCUUGCCUCCUCUGUUCCGCAAGAGGAAGAAGAGGAGCCACCGCAGAGCAGUGGAUCUUGAAAGAAAAGAUCCACUCCCUCAUAACCGUGGAUAAGAUCCACUCAUGCAGAACCGUGGAUCUUGAAAGGAAAGAUCCAUCGAUUACUGAUGCCACUUCUUCGAUGUUCCUUGAGAAGAGAGCAGAGAGUUUCAAAGAUCUCUCUUAUUUCACCGCCUCCACUAUCACCCAGUGGUGAAGAACGCUGGCUGCAGAGAGGAAGAAGAGAGCGCCGCAGAACUAUGGAUCUUGAAAGCAAAGAUCUCUCUUCCUAUCUCUGUCACCUGAAGAAGAACAGAAGGGAGAAGCCUCUUUUCUUUGUUCGAUGCAGAAGUUUUUUUGAAGUUUCUUGAAGUUUUCUUGAUACUAAAUCCUGUACCAACUCCCAAAUCCUGAAGAGGAAGGGCAGUUCCCCCCCCCCUCCCCCUUUUGUCCGCUUCUUUCCUCACCUCGUAGAAGUUUUCUUGAAGUUUUUCUUUCCUUAGGAAGAAGAGGAAAAUUCUUCUAUUCUCCUUCUCCGAUCUCGCUGAAAGAAGGAAGAUCUUUUUUUUUUCUCCUUGUU
rnacentral:lncRNA from 1 species